ensembl:snRNA
UGGUCUCCCAAAAGGAGAGAAGGUUAGCACUCCCCAUGACAAGGAUGGGAGAGGUCUUUGGGCCUAACAACAGGGUUAAGACAUUACCACCUACUCUCCAGUGUUUCUAAAGGUAGUGGUAGAAGAUUGAGAAGUUUC